rnacentral:pre_miRNA from 1 species
UAUGUACUCCCUCCGUCCCAAAAUUCUUGUCUUAAAUUUGUCUAGAUAUGAAUGUAUCUUGUCAUGUUUUAGUAUUUAGAUACAUCCAUUCUUAGACAAAAUUAAGACAAGAAUUUUGGGACGGAGGAAGUAUGAU